GCGAUGAUAGUGAUUGAAGUGAUAGUAGAGGUGGCGUUACUAGUGACAAUAGUGGUGGCCGCUAAAGAAUGUGUAGAGGUUGUGAUGUAUUAGUGGUAGUUAGCGGUGGUGCUAGUUGUAAUAGAUGAGUUAGUUGAUAGUAGGGAUUGGCCGGUAGUGGUUGAUAAUGGCGGUACUGUUGACGACGGUGGUGGCGCUAAAUAUAAUUAUAAUUAUAAUAAUAGAGGUAGUAGGUGUAGUAGCGGUUGACAAUAGUGGUUGAUAACAAUAUUUGUUGUCGAUGAUGGUUAUGAUGGUAGAGGUGGUUGGUAGUUGACAAUGAUGGCGGUGGCAGAGGUGGUGACUGAUGAUUAUGAAUAGAGUGGCGGUGAAUAUUAUCCAACACUAGAAUAUCUCUUCAGACCUAUUAAGACUUGAUUCUAUAUCUGAAUGACUAAGACCUAUUCAGACCUAUUAAGAGAUAAAAUCUUAAUAAA
rnacentral:lncRNA from 1 species